rnacentral:misc_RNA from 1 species
GUAUGAUGAUGGUUCAACUCAAGACUAUAUCACUUCUUUUCUUUCGGAUUGUAUGAUACAUGUUCAAUCUGUGAAUGUAUACAAGUAGGGUCAUGUGGCCACCUUUUAGUCAUUCACCGCAUGAUUAUAUAUAGCAAGGACCUGAUUCUCCCCUAAUCAUGCUGCUUAUAGGCUAUGCUUGAUUUUAUCUGAUAUGGUAUCGCUUGG